UUUCUCCUCUCUCUCCUAUUUAUAUAGAGAUAGUUACAAUUUAGUGGCUAUUCAAUGAAAGCAAUUGUCUUUACAAGAAAAAGAAAGUUUACUGAUUUUAUAGCUGGUAGGCUGUAAACCAUUAGCUGAAUUUGGAAUUUAUAAUAUUCAAAUUAAAAAAUCAAAUAUUAUUUCUAUAAUUUUUGUUUUUUUUUUUCAAUCUGGGUUUUGUGGUACUGCCUUUGUAUGUUUGUUUCAACUUGUUAUAUUAAAUUCUGGGGCAUUUGCGAACUUUGUUGUGAUUGAAUUAUGGAAGUUGGAAUAUACGAUUAUCUACUGUAACCGGGUUUUGCUUGUUGGUUUGUUCAAUUCCUGGAGUUUUUUAUUUUUUAAUGGUUGAUCAAAGUAAAUGUUUUUGUUGAAAGAAUGGUAAGAUUGAUGACUUAUUAUCAUGUUGUAUAAUUCAUUAGUAAGAUUAUUUCAAGAUAAAAAUCUCUAUAAGCUAUCAUUUGAUCUCUUAUAGGCUAUAGUCUUGGAAGUACUUUUGCUAUUCAGGUGAAGUUAUUGUGACACUUGAUGUUUUCAUGCAUGCUAUUUUUCAACAAGAAAGAAAAAACUUGCUGUUUUUAUAAAGGAACAUUUUAUUUUUGGUACGGCAUCAUCUAUGCAAGCAGAAGAGCUAUAGACACUUGGUUUUGGUGCUCAAUCUGCAGGAUGCCAACGUUUUCAGAGGCGUUUCUAUUUCUUGCUCGUAUAGUUUGGAUAAGGAUCCAAAUCCACCUAUUGAAAGGUUAAAGGAUGCAUGAGUAAUAUAGAGUGUAGUUCCUGCCAUGGGUCAUAACCAGGAAUCUUCAGCUGAACUCUGCUUUCAUAGAUGGAUGUUCUAAUGUGUUAUGUGGUCUUUGCUCCUGUGAAGUAUUCAUUUCUGUGGCAUGCUUGUCUUGUUUUUGUGGUGGAGAUCGGUUACAUGAAGUCUUGCUAUGGCUUGUGUUCUGAUCAUGUCAUUCUUUAGAAUCUUUUCUUUAUUCUAUCACAAAGUGAGAAAACCGAAGCUGACUUGAGGGGCUUUUCUCCAUCCUUUUAUUGUGCUCCUUUAGCAUACUUGGGCUCUGAAACUCAAACUGGCUCGAUUGAGCUCAGUGUAUUUCCAUAUGUAUGUGCCAGUUGACUAAAUGCUGGACUUUUUAGAGGUUGAUUAUACAUGUUUUGGCUACCUAUUGAGGAACAUUUGAUUGUUUCUCAGUAUGUUGUUUCCAAUUACAAAUUCAAUUUUUGUCUUCAAUUAUAUAAGAGCAUACCUAAUCAGGAUAGGAUUGGAAGAUCUUGAAUUCGUACAAUUUAUGACAUUGGAAGAAAUGUCAACUGCAUGCCCCCUUGAAAAGUUGGGAGUACUGUAUAGGGACUAACAAUUUGCAGCUGAGGGAGUAACUUCUUGAUUUACUAUUGGUUAUCUUUGUAGGUGUGUGUGUCCCCCCCCCCCCCCUUCCCGGAAAAGAAAGAGCUCACUUCGAAGCAUCUAAGAACAGCCAGAAUCCACUUACAGGAUUUGCUUUGAUCAAGCCUCCAGGGCAUCAUGCUAUACCAAAAGUGUUGGGGAUUCCGACCGGUGAUGUACUGAUAUUUGCCCAUUGGAGGCUUAAGCACACUGACACAAUAUUUAACGUGGUUCGGCAAAACCGCCUACAUCCACGGGAGAGGUUCAUUUUAUUAGAGAUAAAGAAAGGAUACAAUAAAUACAUGUAGAGGAGGAGGAUUACAUCCACUCUACUCAACUCUCUCAACUCUCUUGCUGCACUUGCAGCUGCUGCAAUGGCAGCAAGGCUGCUGCCAUUGCAGCCCCUCUUUCUCUCUUCUUCUCUUCUCUUCACGUUAUCACAACUCUCACAUUUUGCUCUCACAUAAUGCCUCUAUUUAUAGGCAUUUCAUGGCAGCUCUUCUUACUUUGUUGUCAACAUUGGUGGCUGCCAAACUCCAGCUCAUUCAACAAUGGUGGCUGCCAAUAGUCAAUGGUUGGUGCCAACCAUUUGCUGCACAUGCAAUGGCAACAACCCAACAAUCACCCCCUUUGCCAUUCAUGUGGGGCAACUGUCCUCUUGCUUCUUCAGCACAGGAUUGCAUCUUGCAGCUCUUCCAAGCUUACCAUUCUGAGAGCGUCUGAGGCUGAGUUUACAGGUACUCGCCAAACCUUUCAAUCAUCAGAGUUACCAAAGCACACCUUUUCUCACACAAAAGGAUCACUACAACCAGAUAGUCUCCCACAUCACAUCUGAAGAGUGUUAACGCUUGUCUCUGGAACACAACAUUCCCCUUCGAGCGUAUCAACCAUGCUCGGUCCGGAAUGAUUCAUCAAGCCUUACACCAAGGCUUACAACACCCCCUCAAACAGAAAUUUCUUUUUCCAAGUGCGACAGUCAUUAUCUGAGUAUCUCAAUAUGAUCACGAGCUCACCACUCUUCCAAGAGUCUACUCAUCCAGGAGUUGUGCCUGCCCUCUGUUCCACCCUAGGAACCACGCCUUACUUCUCUGUGAGUCUCUCGCUCUUAGUCGUAAGAGUCCAGGUAGCUCUCCACCUUCACCUAUGGGGGCAGCCCAUUAAAGGUUGAUCCAUAUAUAUCUUCAUACUCUGAGUAUUACAAUGCCAUUACCGAGCUCACCACCUUGACAAGAGUCAACUCGUUCCCGGAACCUGCGCAUGCCCUUCUGCUUCUUCAUAGCAGCCGCGUCUUAAUGCUCCACAAGUCACACACUUAUUGUCCAAGGCAAAUGUCUUUUAGCUCAUUGAUCUUUAGCAUGGGGGCAAUAUCCAUGAAAGUCAAUUCUGCAUUUGUCUCCAUACUCAUCAUAGCCACUUCAUUGGCUAUACACCUGUCCACUCAUAUCUAGCCAUCACAUUGGCUCUGGGGUUGUUCUGAACUGGGCUCAUAUCGUGGCCCACCCACCUUCUCCUUAGGUGUCUCCGCUUGUCAUCAUGCGGCGGUCUAAACUGGGGCUUCUAUCACGGCCCUCACACACCUUCCAUCUAAGGUGUCUUCACCUUUCAUAGGUGGUCGCAUCCUCCUUCAGCUGAGAUGCUUCAAAGUGGCUCCAGAAUUCUCUACCACCAUGUGCACUAUGGGAGAGAUAGCUGCCACUAAUCACAUAGAAAGAGAAACUUGCGGUAUACUCCUCGCAAUCCUCCACCUCGAUUUCUAUGUUUGGAGCUUCUAUGCCUUUCUGCUUGACAACUCCACCUACACCAACUCUCUCUAGUGUCUUCGCCUUUCGUCAUAGGCGGUCGCCUUUUAUCACAGGCGUUUGCACCCCCUCAAUUAGGUGCCUCUGCAACAGCUCUCUUUCCAUCCUUGCAUGCAUUGGAAAGGUCUUCGCCUGUUGUCUUCAUCAAGAGCAUAAGAGACUUCCUGUUGUACAAACUUUAACAGUCUCUGCUCUGAGCUUCAUCUGGGAACUCUUCUUCUCCUUGCACCUGUUGUCUCAUUACAAUACCCCGUUGGAUCCUACGGGUACUCCUGCACAAUCUCCGUGUGCCCUCGUGCAAUUUCUGUUCUCCAGAUUUUCCCCUAUUCCUUGCUUAUGUUUGACAGCAGCUCAUCCUGUCACAACACCUGUCCAAGUCAAAAUAGGGUGCCAAUCUUUAUCCCCUUGCUGUAUUCCUCUUCCAUUAUCAGGGUCUUCAAUUCUCCCCUCGAGAAAUCACAGUCACCGAAUCUAACUUCUUUGGAGAAAUCACCACUUCAUCAGAUCCUUGAACCUUCGGAACCCAACUAUUCCCUUGUGCCGUUAUCCUGCUAGUCUUCAACUGUUUCAUUACAAACUGCUAUAUAUACGAAAAUAGUACCGUAUGGAUAAUCCUUCCACCAAGCAAGUUCCCAGGAAAGAUUGGAGGGGUCACACUGGUCCCGCUUAAAACCCAAUCUCCUAGACAGAACUUCUUAGGCCAUAUUUAUCCAUCGUACUGUCUUUCCGUAUAUACAACCAUUUGCUAGCUUUGUUGCGGCUUUUCUUUACAAGUGAUCUGGAAUAUACUGGUUUAAUACAUGAUUUCUCAACAUCUGACGAGACUACCAGUGCUUAGAUUCGUCAAGAUUGGUCUUGGUCAAAUUCCACUCUUCACCUCAAAUUAUCCACAUGAUCGGGUGUCUAGAGUGUCCCAAUUUUGCCUUCCCUCAAGGCAAUUAAAAUUCUCGCCACUUAACAGUUCAACACAUGUAAUUGGGUAAACAUGUGCACAUUUUUCUUGUUCAUCUCCAUCGACCACCAUGAUGACCUUCAGAUGCCUCCUGAUCGAGCAAUCUCUUUUGUUAAUUCACCACCACCACUUUCAGUUUCAAAUCUCAAUGAUCGGACCAUACCAUUGCAUCCGGAACGAUCAAAUUAGCUGGAAACAAGUCUGAAAUCGUCCAAAUCGCACUUCAGACGGCUAAGAUUUGAUCAAAACAAUUCUGGCCUGAUCAACGGCUCAGAUUCAAUCUCAGAUCCGGUUGCACAUAGGAUCAGCUACACUGAAUCCUGUCCCUCGGCUCGGCUCCCAUUCGGCUCGGCUCACUCGGCUCGGGACUGAUGAUGUGGCAGGUGGGUCCCACUUUGCUGACGUGUCUGCUGACUGGUCGAUGAUGUGUCUGUUGACCGUCGCUGAAGUGUCUGCUGACUUUCCGCUGACGUGUCUGUUGACUGGCGCUGACGUGUCUGUUGACUUGCGCUGACGUGGCACGCUGACUGGGCAGUCUCUUCGCCGGCCCGUGCGGCCGUUUUCCGACGUCUGAUUUUGACGCCGUUUUCACCAGUGGUUUCGUCUCGGCCUCCUCUACACAGUGGUAUGGUCAAAACACAAUUUUGACAACUUUCAUUUUUGAGCAAAAAUCAAACACCACUUUAAACCAUGUGCUCUGAUACCAAUUGUUGGGGAUUCCGACCGGUGAUGUACUGAUAUUUGCCCAUUGGAGGCUUAAGCUCACUGACACAAUAUUUAACGUGGUUCGGCAAAACCGCCUACAUCCACGGGAGAGGUUCAUUUUAUUAGAGAUAAAGAAAGGAUACAAUAAAUACAUGUAGAGGAGGAGGAUUACAUCCACUCUACUCAACUCUCUCAACUCUCUUGCUGCACUUGCAGCUGCUGCAAUGGCAGCAAGGCUGCUGCCAUUGCAGCCCCUCUUUCUCUCUUCUUCUCUUCUCUUCACGUUAUCACAACUCUCACAUUUUGCUCUCACAUAAUGCCUCUAUUUAUAGGCAUUUCAUGGCAGCUCUUCUUACUUUGUUGUCAACAUUGGUGGCUGCCAAACUCCAGCUCAUUCAACAAUGGUGGCUGCCAAUAGUCAAUGGUUGGUGCCAACCAUUUGCUGCACAUGCAAUGGCAACAACCCAACAAAAAGGGCCCGUGAGCUUUUGUGUUUUUGGCAAUGUGACCAUUGCAGCUCGUCAUGCCCAAUCGUGUGCAUUGAUUAAAACGAGUCUCAAUCAUUUAUUUUGAUAUUCACCAUGGGAAUGGGACGAAUGAUGCAUUUUAUGAUGAAUCCAAAUAUAUUCAAGAUGGAAGCUAUCCAGGUACUUGUAAAAUUGACGAGCUAGGUCAUGGAGAUGGUGAAGGUACACCUUUAAAUCUGAUAUUGCCAUUAGGACCGUAUUUGAUGAAGUCAUUGUACCAAGUGCUCAAAGGUUCAAGCCAGAUAUUUUUCUUGCUUCUGCUGGGUAUGAUGGUCUGGAUCCACUAGGAAGUCUUUGAUUUACAACAGGAACAUGCUGCACGCUUGCCUCUAAUAUUAAACAACUGGCGAAAGAUCUGUGGUGGCCGUUGUGUGUUUUUCUUGGAGGGAGGAUACAACCUUGAUUCUGUUUCAUAUUCAGUGGCGGGCUCCUUUCAUGCUUUCAUUGGGGAGAAGAGUUUGGCAUCUGAGUUUGAUAACCCUGCCAUCAACUAAGAUGAAGCAAGCGAUUCAGAGAAUUAAACAUGUGCAUUCUCUUUGAAGAUGCGUAGGCAUUAAUUACAUGUCUGUCUAGAAGUAGCUUUGCCAGCAUGCUUGUUGGGCACCUAAAACACCAGCGGAGCUUUCCUUGGUUGAAUGCUGCAAUCUCCAAGGUGGUUCUUUAGAUGUCUUGAAAGGAUAGUAAUUUUCCUGUAUAGUAUCGUUUAACAAGUACAAGUAACACGCGUUAGCUAGUAAAGUUAUAUCCUGCAAAAGAAGAUUCUAGUUCAUAUUUAGAUGAAUGAUUUUUCCCUUCUCA